rnacentral:rRNA from 1 species
UACGGGGGGAGCAAGCGUUGUUCGGAUUUACUGGGCGUAAAGGGCGCGUAGGCGGUCAGCACAAGUCAGUUGUGAAAUCUCCGGGCUUAACUCGGAAAGGUCAACUGAUACUGUGCGACUAGAGUGCGGAAGGGGCAACUGGAAUUCUCGGUGUAGCGGUGAAAUGCGUAGAUAUCGAGAGGAACACCUGCGGCGAAGGCGGGUUGCUGGGCCGACACUGACGCUGAUGCGCGAAAGCCAGGGGAGCGAAGCGGG